rnacentral:rRNA from 1 species
AUUGAACGCUGGCGGCAGGCCUAACACAUGCAAGUCGAACGAGUGGCGGACGGGUGAGUAAUGUCUGGGAAACUGCCCGAUGGCGGGGGAUAACUACUGGAAACGGUAGCUAAUACCGCAUACCAUCGGAUGUGCCAAGAUGGGAUUAGCUAGUAGGUGGGGUAACGUCUCACCUAGGCGACGAUCCCUAGCUGGUCUGAGAGGAUGACCAGCCACACGGGAACUGUGACACGGUCCAUACUCCGACGGGAGGCAGCAGUGGGGAAUAUUGCACAAUGGGCGCAAGCCUGAUGCAGCCAGGCCGCGUGUAUGAAGAAGGCCUUCGGGUUGUAAAGUACUUUCAGCGAGGAGGCGUUACUCGCAGAAGAAGCACCGGCUAACUCCGUGCCAGCAGCCGCGGUAAUAC